CAGGUAUUGGGCUUGUCACAGUGGACUCAGGACAGGCAGGUCUGAAGGGGGAAAGCUAGCUGCCAUGUUGUGAAGACACUCAUGUAGCCUUACAGGAAGGCUUACAUGGCACAGAAAUGAGGUUUCUGUCCAACAGACAGUGAAGAACUAAGUCUCCAGCCAAUAGCCAUGUAAAUGUGCUAUCUUGGAAGCAGAAUCGCCAGCCCCAGUCAAACCUUCAUAUACUGUAGCCCCAAUCAACAUCUUACUGGAUCCUCUUGAGAGACUUUGAGCUAGAAUGACCCAGAGAUAACUUAGAAAUUCCACAAAUAUGAUGGUGACACCAGAGAACUGGGAACUCCAGAGGGGAGUGGUGUCAUGAG